AUGUAGGUGAAGAAACAACGUGCACAAGUAAUGAUCAGACACCUAUCAACAAACCUGAUUUAUUCAGUAUCAUAUCGGAAUCUCUCCAAGACCUUGGAUUUAAUAUUCCAUCAGCAGAGGCCCAUUUCACAAAA